CUGGAACCCCAGUUAGUACAUGAGAGAGGAAAGCAGAAUGAGUUGAGGUCAGUAGAGGGCACGUGGGACAGGUGUCGGAGCUGAAGUGUGGAGAAAGGGAGGGAUGUGGGCAGAAGCCAAGUUCUGGUAGCAGAGGCUCUGAGAGCAGCCUGCAUUUGUGGUGGUGGGGGCAGAGGUCGGGACUACUGCGAUCCAGGCACCCAAAGGUCGUAGCUCCUCAGUACUGAGCAGAAAUGACAAUUCCCCAUGGAGUGACAGAUGUGGCCCAAUAUCCUCUAUGACCUGAGACUUCCCAUCAGUUAAUCUCCAGCUGGCACUUGGAAAAUAUCUGAUUGUAAUCAGGAGGUGCAUUCUUCAAGGACUGAUGAGCGUCUCCUGGGGGAUGGAUGGUUGGAUGAAAUCUGAACGCAAGAGGAAAUCAGAGAGUUGGCUCUUUUGCCAGCUUCUAAAUCUAUCUUUUCCAGGUCUCCACAUGCUGGUCCUAGAGGUCAUAGAAUUCUAGAGUUAGAAGAGACUGAGAUUCUGGCACUUUGGAGGCCAAGGCGGGAUCUCUUGAUCCCAGGAGUUUGAGACCAGCCUGGGCAACAUGGCAAGACCUCAUCUCUACAAAAAAUUUUAAAUAAUUUAAAAGUUAGUUGAGUGUGGCAGCACACAUCUGUGGUCUCUAGGGUGGGUUCCAUGGUGUCGUUCCGACAUUAUUCCCAGCUGCACAGACUUCAAGAAUCCUGAUUUGCUGUCUCUUCUGGAGAGUCUGUGACCUCCCCAGUGCCAUUUCCUAAAUUCCUUUUCUGCUUAAAUAGCUAGAGUGGACCCUCUCGACAGAGGACCCUGAGACAGGUGCUCAUCUCUUCCUCGUCUAAACAGGUGGUGGGCACUGCGUAGCCACCACUUAGGUGACUGACACAGAAGAGCCUUUCCUUAUCACUUCCCUGCAGCAACUGACAGACUGAGCAGAAAACAGUCAUUUUUGCUUGACAAUAAGAGAAUUUGAUUAUAAAUCAAUGAAGAACCCAUCUGUGACCAUGUUCUCACCAAUUCUAAAUGUUACAAGUUGGAAGAGAACAAGUCUCUGUAUAAUACUUGAUAUUGAUAUUAGUAACUACCAAGAUAGGAUUUUCCUGAGGGAUAGGGAGGAGGGCUGCUCACAGAGAGACUCUGUGCUCUGGUCCCUGAAACCCAUGGGAAGUGAGACCAGAGGGCUAGGGGUAGAGGACAAUGUCAGGGUAAAGUGAACAGAAUGCAUUGGCUGCUCUGGUGGACCCUACUGAUUGUCCCUGAAAAUCUCUUGGCUGGUCACUGUGGCUCACACCUGUAAUCCCAGCCCUUUGGGAGGCCAAGGCGGAAAGGUUGCUUGAGCCCAGGAGUUCGAGACCAGCCUGGGCAAAUGGUGAGAUGCUGUCUCUCCAAAAAUUAAAUUAGGCAGACGUGGUAGCGCACACCUGCAGUCCCAGCUAUUCAGGAGGCUGAGGCAGGAGGAUUGCUUGAGCCUGGAAGGUAGAGGCUGUAGUGAGUCAUCUUCAUACCACUGCACUCCAGCCUGGGUGACAGAGUAAGACCCUGUCU
rnacentral:lncRNA from 1 species